AGCUGCCAGCAUGAUCUA
rnacentral:siRNA from 1 species